UGGGGAAUUUUGGACAAUGGGCGAAAGCCUGAUCCAGCAAUGCCGCGUGUGUGAAGAAGGCCUUCGGGUUGUAAAGCACUUUUGUCCGGAAAGAAAUCCUUGGCUCUAAUACAGUCGGGGGAUGACGGUACCGGAAGAAUAAGCACCGGCUAACUACGUGCCAGCAGCCGCGGUAAUACGUAGGGUGCAAGCGUUAAUCGGAAUUACUGGGCGUAAAGCGUGCGCAGGCGGCUUGCUAAGACCGAUGUGAAAUCCCCGGGCUCAACCUGGGAACUGCAUUGGUGACUGGCAGGCUAGAGUAUGGCAGAGGGGGGUAGAAUUCCACGUGUAGCAGUGAAAUGCGUAGAGAUGUGGAGGAAUACCGAUGGCGAAGGCAGCCCCCUGGGCCAAUACUGACGCUCAUGCACGAAAAGCGUGGGGAGCAAACAGGAUUAGAUACCCUGGUAGUCCACGCCCUAAACGAUGUCAACUAGUUGUUGGGGAUUCAUUCCUUAGUAACGUAGCUAACGCGUGAAGUUGACCGCCUGGGGAGUACGGUCG
rnacentral:rRNA from 1 species